rnacentral:rRNA from 1 species
GAUGAACGCUGGCGGCGUGCCUAAUACAUGCAAGUCGAGCGAACAGACGCGGAGCUUGCUCCUCUGACGUUAGCGGCGGACGGGUGAGUAACACGUGGAUACCCUACCUAUAAGACUGAGAUAACUUCGGGAAACCGGAGCUAAUACCGGAUAAUAUAUUGAUCCGCAUGGUUCAAUAGUAAAAGUCGGCUUUGGUGUCUCUUAUAGAUGGAUACGCGCGGGAUUAGCUAGUUGGUACGGUAACGGCUUACCAAGGCAACGAUGCGUAAACGACCUGAUAGGCUGAUCGGCGACCUGGGAACUGAGACACGGUCCAGACUCCUACGGGAGGCAGCAGUAGGGAAUCUGCCGCAAUGGGCGAGAGCUUGACGGAGCAACGCCGCGUGAGUGAUGAAGGUCUUCGGAGCGUAAAACUCUGUUAUGAGUGAAGAACAAAUGUGUAAGUAGCUAUGCACGGCUUGACGGUACCGAAUCAGAAAGCCACGGCUAACUACGUG